GGGGGAAUAGCUCAGUGGUAGAGCACAUGCUUAGCAUGCAUGAGGUCCUGGGUUCAAUCCCCAGUACUUCCA
rnacentral:tRNA from 1 species